CCAUCGCCCAAUCNCCUUGAGUUGAUAUGGNUCAGAAUGAACGUUGGCGGCGUGGAUUAGGCAUGCGAGUCGUACGAGAACCCCGCAAGGGGGGAAAGUGGCGAACGGGGUAGUAAGGCGUAGGUGACGUGCCCUGCGGUCGGGGAUAGCUUAGGGAAACUUAAGGUAAUACCCGAUAAUCCCAUGAGGCUUGAAGGCCAUAUGGGCAAAGGUGUGAUUCCACCACAGGAGCGGCUUGCGUGGUAUUAGCUAGUUGGUGAGGUAACGGCUCACCAAGGCAACGAUGCCUAGGGGAUGUUAGCGCAUGAUCCCCACCACUGGGACUGAGAUACUGCCCAGACACCUACGGGUGGCUGCAGUCGAGAAUCUUCGGCAAUGGGGGAAACCCUGACCGAGCGACGCCGCGUGUGGGAUGAAGGCCCUUGGGUUGUAAACCACUGUCAGAGGGGAUGAAAUGCCGGAGGGUUCUCCCUCCGGUUUGACAUAGCCUCAGAGGAAGCACGGGCUAAGUUCGUGCCAGCAGCCGCGGUAAGACGAACUGUGCAAACGUUAUUCGGAAUCACUGGGCUUGAAGAGUGCGUAGGCGGUUUUGUAAGUAGGGUGUGAAAGCCCCCGGCCUAACCGGGGAAUUGCGCCCUAAACUGCAAGGCUGGAGUGAGGUANGGGGUGUGUGGAACUUCCAGUGGAGCGGUGAAAUGUGUUGAUAUUGGAAGGAACGCCGGUGGCGAAAGCGACACACUGGACCUUGUCUGACGCUGAAGCAC
rnacentral:rRNA from 1 species